UUAAAAUUUAAAUUUUAAUUCUUAUGAUUGAUUUGGGUUUAAUUUUUGACAUACUUAUAUAUUUUCCUAAUUAAAUUCAUCCAAAAAUGGUGGAUGUAUAGUUGAAUUGUCUUCCUUUAUAGUUUAUAUUACACAAUUAUCAGACCUAGGAUAUCACCAAAUACUUUAGGUGUGUGGCUAUGAUACCAAUAAAAAGUUCAAAGUCUAAUAGUGAGUUGUGUUAAAAAAAUUGCGUACACCAAAUUAUACACAAACAUGAAAAGAACAAAAGAUUAAAUAUAGAAAGUUGUUAACACGAUUUAAACCUAUCCUACAUCCGUACAUUUGCAAGACUUUACCCAAAAAAAGAAUUUCACCAUACUAAAUCUAAUAUUACAUGAAAUGAUUAAGUUAAAUCUAUCCUAACCAUCGGAUAAUUUCAGACUUGUAAGCAAUGAUUUAAGGUAUUUACAAUUUCUAGAUUCCCUGUUAUGCCUGAAGAAAUUGAUUGAGUAGCCAUUCGUAAAGGAUGAAAUACAGUGCAGAUUGCCAAGGAAGCAUAGACAGGGCAGAGGCAGAGGCAGAGGUAGAGCCCCCUUCAUAUUCCCUGUUAUUUCCUCUUAAUCCUAUAUCCAUGUUCAUAUUGAGUCGAUUGAUACAUCAAUCGAGAAACAACGGAGAUAAACAAAAUCAAAAUUUAUAGAAGAGCCCACAUUGUACUACAUGCAGAGGGGAAAAAAAUAGUUUUGCUACAAUAUAGGAAAGCCAUACUCCAUUCAUUUGAUUCAUACAUGAUAUUUGCAAUGAAGAACAAAGGAAGGAAAUAAGGUUUGGGUUUUAGAGGGACAACCCAGACUCCUCAUCCUCUUCCAGGGAGGAAGUAUAGAUGAAGUAAAGAGCCCAGAUCAGGCCGAACACACCAAACAGGAUCCACCCGAGGAGGUUGUUGCUCAAACCAAAGGGAAGUCCUGUUCCUUCAGUGGACAUUCUCUCGUCCACCAGAGCAAUGGCUGGGCUUGACA